rnacentral:rRNA from 1 species
AUAUCAAUAAGCGGAGGAAAAGAAACCAACAGGGAUUGCCCUAGUAACGGCGAGUGAAGCGGCAACAGCUCAAAUUUGAAAUCUGGCCCCAGGCCCGAGUUGUAAUUUGCAGAGGAUGCUUUUGGCAAAGCGCAUACCGAGUCCCCUGGAACGGGGCGCCACAGAGGGUGAGAGCCCCGUAUGGUACGACGCCGAGCCUCUGUAAAGCUCCUUCGACGAGUCGAGUAGUUUGGGAAUGCUGCUCUAAAUGGGAGGUAAAUUUCUUCUAAAGCUAAAUACCGGCCAGAGACCGAUAGCGCACAAGUAGAGUGAUCGAAAGAUGAAAAGCACUUUGAAAAGAGGGUUAAAUAGCACGUGAAAUUGUUGAAAGGGAAGCGCUCGUGACCAGACUUGCGCCGGGCGGAUCAUCCAGCGUUCUCGCUGGUGCACUCCGCCCGGCUCAGGCCAGCAUCGGUUUUCGCCGGGGGACAAAAGCUUCGGGAACGUGGCUCCCUUCGGGGAGUGUUAUAGCCCGUCGUUUAAUACCCCGGCGGGGACCGAGGACCGCGCUUCGGCAAGGAUGCUGGCGUAAUGGUCAUCAGCGACCCGUCUUGAAACACGGACCGAGGAGUCAAGCAUUAGUGCGAGUGUUUGGGUGUAAAACCCGCACGCGUAAUGAAAGUGAACGUAGGUGAGAGCUUCGGCGCAUCAUCGACCGAUCCUGAUGUUUUCGGAUGGAUUUGAGUAGGAGCAUUAACGCUUGGACCCGAAAGAUGGUGAACUAUACUUGAAUAGGGUGAAGCCAGAGGAAACUCUGGUGGAGGCUCGCAGCGGUUCUGACGUGCAAAUCGAUCGUCAAAUUUGAGUAUAGG